GUGCUUGCUUUAGCAGCACAUACACUAAAGCUGGAAUGAAAGAGGAGCUUACCAGGGCUCCUGCACAAGGCUAACGUGUGAAAGUUACAGAAGUUAUGCAGUUAA
rnacentral:snRNA from 1 species